GAUUUCCUUACAUGAACUGUAACUCAGUAAAAUUGUUUAAAUUGUUACGUUGCGUUUAUAUUUUUCUUCAGUGUUAUGUUAUUUAUAUGUGAAAAGUUGUAUUAAAAAAUACUCGAUAAACUAGUAAGCUCAUUUCCCAGUCAAGCAGCUAUAACUAAUAGGAGUCAUUUUGGUUGUGAAGUGCAUUAACAAAAAGCUAUGUCCUUUUUUUACAACAAAACGCAAUUCACCACUUGGCUGUCGAUUAUAUCACCCUGUCACAGGCCUUCACGGUCAUCACCACCUCAUAAGUGGAGGCAGUUUGCAGCUGAACAUGCAGCAUAGGGAAGACCAGCAAUGGGGCCCUCAUCAGCAUCAUGCAGACAUGCCCUCACUGUAAGCGUACCUGUGAAUGGAACGGUCAGCCACAUGUUGGCCAGUAUCCGGCCAGCCAUCAUCAUCUGUCAGUUGCAAAAGCUUUCACAGGCUCAUACUUUCCACAAAUACACAAGUAUCUUUGAUGAAGGGCCAGAAGCUGAUGUACGCUGCUAUGCCCAUCAAUGAGGAUCUGGCAAAUACCUUAUCUCCAGCCUCACCUCUUGCCUACUCACCAACGGCCGUUGACGGGGAGAACAAAAUUAGAAACCUGUAUGGAGACUUGCAAGAUGGAGACUGUCCAGACUGACAGACGGCUUGAUACUAAUGUCUUUGAAUGGAGAGAGACCUGGCAUUUGGCUUUCAAAUUGACUAGACAUCUUUUACUCGUAUUAUCUUUGUUUAUUGAAUGGUAUCAGUCAAUAUGGAGAAACCCUUUAUAUUCUGCACCAGGAUCAGGGAACACCACACAGGAAGGUGUGACCAUUCUGACAUGUUUGCCAAUGUAGCCCCAUUACCACCAGACAAAAAGCCGAUACAGAUACCUUGUCUAUCAGCUGGGAAUUAUAAUGAAAGAUGAAAGGUGCACAUUGCUAUAUUAGCAGAACACUGCUUCUAUGGUGUUAUGAAAAUGGUUGUUUACUACACAUUGUCCUGUUACUAAAUUAGAAAUGUAUCAAAACAGUUUGUUUAGAAUAUCUACAUAAAUUCAGCAAUUGCAUUCUUCUCAUAUUACUCUGUUGGCUACUG